CGGGUGAGUAAUGUCUGGGAAACUGCCUGAUGGAGGGGGAUAACUACUGGAAACGGUAGCUAAUACCGCAUAACGUCGCAAGACCAAAGAGGGGGACCUUCGGGCCUCUUGCCAUCGGAUGUGCCCAGAUGGGAUUAGCUAGUAGGUGGGGUAACGGCUCACCUAGGCGACGAUCCCUAGCUGGUCUGAGAGGAUGACCAGCCACACUGGAACUGAGACACGGUCCAGACUCCUACGGGAGGCAGCAGUGGGGAAUAUUGCACAAUGGGCGCAAGCCUGAUGCAGCCAUGCCGCGUGUAUGAAGAAGGCCUUCGGGUUGUAAAGUACUUUCAGCGGGGAGGAAGGGAGUAAAGUUAAUACCUUUACUCAUUGACGUUACCCGCAGAAGAAGCACCGGCUAACUCCGUGCCAGCAGCCGCGGUAAUACGGAGGGUGCAAGCGUUAAUCGGAAUUACUGGGCGUAAAGCGCACGCAGGCGGUUUGUUAAGUCAGAUGUGAAAUCCCCGGGCUCAACCUGGGAACUGCA
rnacentral:rRNA from 1 species